rfam:Verrucomicrobiaceae bacterium GAS474 genome assembly, chromosome: I
UCUGGUGGCUUUGAGACGUGGCCCCACCCGUUCCCAUCCCGAACACGGAAGUUAAACGCGUCAUCGCCGAUGGUAGUGCUUCUAUAGGCUGCGCGAGAGUAGGCUGUUGCCAGAU